AUGAAGAAGAAAAAGAAGGCGGUGGAACCAGCGGCCAAGAGUAGCAGGCCACGGAAGCGGAGCCGCGACGGUGAGCUCGACGGCGAUCUCAUCAGCCACGGUGAUCUCAUCAGCAAACUCCCCGAUGACAUCCUCUGCACAAUCAUCUCCCUCCUGCCCACCAAAGACGGCGCACGCACCCAGGUUAUCGCUCGCCGAUGGCGUCCCCUCUGGCGCUCAGCGCCCCUCAACCUCGACGCCUCCAAACACCUCUGCUCCAACGACUUCAAGCGCUUCUCCCUCAUCUCCAAGAUCCUCUCCGACCACCCUGGCCCCGCCCGCCGCUUCGUCAUCUAUUCCAUCCGCCUCCACAUAGCGGAAAAGAGGUAUGCCGAGGAAGCCGCUCAGAUCGAGAACUGGUUCGUCUUCCCUGCCCUUGACAACCUUCAGGAGCUCGACAUCAACUUUAGGCAGCCGUUUCUCUCUGGACGUGAGAACCGUUACCCGCUGCCACCAUCCGUGUUCCGCUUAGCACCAACCCUCCUUGUGGCAAAAAUUGGCCUCUGCAAUUUCCCAAAUGAGAUUGUCCAUUCGCUGAGUUUUCCCUUGCUCAAGCAGCUCACCUUAUCUCGCGUCUCCAUUUCCGAGGAUGACUUCUCGGGGGUGCUCUCUGGCUGCCGUGUGUUGGGGUCGCUUAAAUUGCAGGGUAUUCGUGAUGUGAAUUGUCUCCGCAUUAGCUCGACAACUCUCAGGAUCAUCAUAAUCGCCUACUCUUUGUUUGAGAGGAAAGGAGAAUUGUUCAUUGAGGACGCCCCUUGCCUUGAAAGGCUGCUACUAGUUAAUCCGGGCUCAGGCGGUGAGACUAUCCGGGUAAUUAAGGCACCUAAAAUGGAGACAUUGGGCCUUUUGUCUGCCCGCAUCUCAGAAAUUGAGAUUGCUAAUAUAGUCUUCCAGAGAUUGAUCCCAUCCAGUUCGGAAGUCCCAAUAUGCACUGUAAAGGUUUUGGCUCUCCAUUUCUCUAGCCCUGAUUUGGAUGCAGUUCUUGACAUCCUUAGAUGCUUCCCGUGCUUGGAAAAGCUCUAUGUCUUUAGGCACUGUUUUACGAGGGCAGCAAUAAAAAAUGUGCCUCAGUAUGAGUCACUAGAUCCAAUCAAAUGCCUUGAGAGGCAUCUCAAAGUACUGGUGCUGAAAAAAUACAAAGGUGGUGAGGAAGAUGUUGGAUUUGUAAAGUUCUUCGUUUUGAAUGCGAAAGUGGUAAAGGAAAUCAACUUUCAAGUGUAUAAGAAGAUUGAUAUCAACAAGAAAUGGAUGACUGAUCAACUCAGGCUGCUAGAAGUGGAAAAUAGAGCUUCUCAAGACGCCCGAUUGAAAUUUGGAAGAAGUUGUGCUAGUUGGAUUCGCUGUUUGGAUCCCCAGGACUUGUCAAUUGCCGACCCUUUCAACUGUUGUUUUGUAGAUGCUCCUUCAGAAGCAUAUCUGUGA
rnacentral:rRNA from 1 species